rnacentral:snRNA from 1 species
AGAUGUGUAUGCAAUCUGGCUGCAAUAUGUCACCAUUUAUCACCAGAGUUGAUUUAGCUAACCUGGCUAGCUAGGUAUGUGUCCUCUUCUUCCCUCACUGCUACAUGUGCACUUGAUAGAAGAAGACAAUCUUCCCCAAAUAGAGGAGGGCCAGUCUUCACUCAGGGGUAUACAGUAGCUGCACUUUCCAACUAGAACGUCUAAACAGUUCUCAAGGUUCAAUGUAGAAUCAGGUUCUUGUCUUUAGCCCUACACCUUCACU